rnacentral:rRNA from 1 species
GUGCCUAAUACAUGCAAGUCGAGCGAACAGACGAGGAGCUUGCUCCUCUGACGUUAGCGGCGGACGGGUGAGUAACACGUGGGUAACCUACCUAUAAGACUGGGAUAACUCCGGGAAACCGGGGCUAAUACCGGAUAACACAUGAAACCGCAUGGUUUCAUGAUGAAAGACGGUUUUGCUGUCACUUAUAGAUGGACCCGCGGCGUAUUAGCUAGUUGGUAAGGUAACGGCUUACCAAGGCAACGAUACGUAGCCGACCUGAGAGGGUGAUCGGCCACACUGGAACUGAGACACGGUCCAGACUCCUACGGGAGGCAGCAGUAGGGAAUCUUCCGCAAUGGGCGAAAGCCUGACGGAGCAACGCCGCGUGAGUGAUGAAGGUCUUCGGAUCGUAAAACUCUGUUAUUAGGGAAGAACAAGGAUGUAAGUAACUGUGCAUCCCUUGACGGUACCUAAUCAGAAAGCCACGGCUAACUACGUGCCAGCAGCCGCGGUAAUACGUAGGUGGCAAGCGUUAUCCGGAAUUAUUGGGCGUAAAGCGCGCGUAGGCGGUUUUUUAAGUCUGAUGUGAAAGCCCACGGCUCAACCGUGGAGGGUCAUUGGAAACUGGAAAACUUGAGUGCAGAAGAGGAAAGUGGAAUUCCAUGUGUAGCGGUGAAAUGCGUAGAUAUAGGAAGGAACACCAGUGGCGAAGGCGACCACCUGGACUGAUACUGACAC